rnacentral:tRNA from 1 species
GCCGACGUAGCUCAGGUGGUAGAGCAACUGAUUCGUAAUCAGUAGGUCCCGAGUUCGAGUCCCGGCGUCGGCA